CAUUGUUCAUGACAACACAACAACCGGAAUAAAGCAAGAGUUUCUGGGAGUAGCAUUAGGAUGCAGCACUCCUGCUGUGCACACCAGUUCCCUGCUCUGCACAGCUGCCUUCUCAGCUGGGGGUUUGAAAUCAGCACUGUGAGAAAAGACAGAAAUGACCGGGAUGCAUGCUCCUCACUAUGAGGAAAAGUUCUUCAAGGCAGAUAGUGAUGUUGAAAGCAGCUGCAUCUAUUUUGUGGCCAUGAAGGAGGAAAUAUGAACAAUCAAAGGAGAAUUCCAAGGAGGCCUAGCAUGACAUGCAAUGCCACUGAGGAGCCGACUGCUAUUUAGAAGGAGAGGUUCUUUUUUUCUUUGAAUCAACAGAGCAUCUCUUGGCAGUGGAGUAUAAAACAAGCAGAAAAGUAUUUCCCCAUGUGCUGGAGGUGGUUAUUAUGGUUGUCAAGGAAACAUUCACACUCCUCAAGGUCACCUCUGGAAACAACUGCAAGAUGUGAAGAAGAGAUCAAUACACGAAAGCCAAGACCUCAGAUCCCUAACACUGUCUCCCAUUUUAAAAUAUUCCUAACGAAUAUUUGUUUACCUAAUUCUAUGUGGCUUGAAGUAGUCAAAUGAAGCUGAUGUCAAGCCCAGUGUUUUUCCAAGGUCUGUUUUUGGAAACUUCUGAUGUUUAGUGGGGUUGCUCAGGGUGUGGGAUUAUACUGGGUCAGCAGUCUGAAGACAGAUCAAAACAAAAUUAUAAAGAUAAGCUCCAUUUGGGACUUCAUUUGUAAGAGACUCUUGUUUAAAAUAGUAAGACUUUAAUUUCAGAAAAUAUUAUCUACCAGACAUGUGCAGCAUUUUGGUCAGUCAGUUUAUCUAGACACUCAUCAGUUGACUUAUUCAUUCAUUCUUUCAUCAGAUAAUUAUGAUUUCAUACUAUGUGCCUGGAAAUGCUUUGGUCAUGAGAACUGAAUGUAAUGCAGUCCCUAAAUCUAAGAUCUGAGAGAUCUGACAGACUCAAUCUGAAGAAAAAGUCAAUAUGGAAACCAGUGAUGGAGUCACUUGUAGAGGGCCACAUGACAAGUUUCGUAUCAUCUAAGUAACUGUUCCUAACGGGUCAAGGAAGAAAGGGACUAGGGAGAGAGAAAUGUUUUCAUGUAGCCUUGAGAGGGAAUGUGCACUGAGCAUGGAAUGCAGUGCUGGAAGUGCAUCUUCUGACAGAAGCAGCAGCAAAGGGUAGAGAUGUGAGGAUCAGGGUGCCCUGGGCUCCUGCUAUCUGACGCUCCGGAUACACUAGGGGGAGUUUAGAUAUGAGGCUAGAAAAGAGAAUGGAAAGGCAUCCAUUUUCUCUGCUGUAUUUUCAAAAGGUACUGCUAGCGUUUCAGACAUGUUCUCUAUAUGACAACUAAUGACACAAUUUAAUUCUGUAAUAAAUAACUUUGACUUUAA